ensembl:lncRNA
AGAGAAAGAAAAAAUACGGCCAAUUAAACUGACACAGUGUUCUGUUUUCAUAUCAAUGUAAGAUGCAUCCUGAUUCCAGAAAUAUUAAAAUCUGAAGAAAAAAAGCUCACUUAGCUGCUAUUGCAUUUUCAUCAAUUCUAACAUUUAUUUACUAUGUGUGAUGCACUAUCCAUUUGUGACAUAGCUAUUAUUGCCCAAUUUUUACAAUUUAACAACACAUAUUACAUAAUGUAAAUAGCUUUGGGACCGUAGAUGAGUUAUCCUCUCCAAGUCUCAGUUUCAUCAUCUGUUAAAUGCAAGGAUAAUAUCAUUUAUUUUACAACAUCAUUUUGAAGAUCGGGUGAAUUAAUGCAUGUAAAACAUUCAACAUGACAUGUAUUAAGUGCACAGGACACGUUAGCUAUAAACAGGGACAAGAAAAGUAGCUUAGUGCCAAUUUUGAAAAGCUACAAUUGAAGAAAUUUGGACCUUAUUCUAAAGUUUGGGGAGCUAUUUUAAGGCCUUAUAAGUAGGGGAACAACUUGAAAACACUUUUUCUUGCCCUUGUGCUGGCAACCUAGGCAAGAAAGGGAAGAAGAAGAAAACCACUUUCCUGAAAGUAGCACCAUUCUCCUCCCCAUGCCUGACCUCUCUUCCCUGAAAGCUUUUUGGUUCUUAACUUUUCAGAAAGAUUAGCCAUCUCUUUUCUCAGAUAUUUGGGCUUUUCACCAUUUGUUGAGGGAGGAGCCUUUCCAAAUCCUAUUUCUUUCACACACACACACACCCCCCGUGUGAGUCUCCACUGAUGAUGCUCUUAGGGAUAUUAAGCAAGGCUUUGUGUCACCACUCUAAGCCCUGAAUGAAUGAAAUCAUUACCUCCAUUUUAAGCUCUUAAGUCUGUGCUCCCUCUGGGGAGUAUCAUUGCAGCAUUCCAUGUCAUUCUCACAAACAACCUGUGAAUUGGGAUUCUCCUAGGAAACUGACAUGCACAGAUUAGGAUGGCCACAGGGUCCAAAAGUUUGGACCCACGUCUUUCUGCUCCCACUUAACUGCCUCCUGGUCUUUCCUCUACCUACAGUGGCCACCAGAAGAUCAGCUUACAUUGAAAGUAGUUCUUGGCUUUGAUGCAUAGGAUGGGUGACCCUAGCCUGGUUUACAGAUUCCUGAAGUUUAACAGAAUUUGAUCCUUCUGAGCCCUCCCUUGCUCUCUCUCUGGACCCUCAUGUACCUCUUGCUCUGGAUUAAUUUUCAUUGCAUGUUAAAAGCUAUCAAGCAUCUGAUGAAUAUUGAAUAGCUUUGAACAGACAGACUGCAUACAGCUGUCUGAGACAGCAGCUAUUGGGGGUGGGGGAGUACGGUAUAUUGCCACCUAGUUCUUUACAUCCCUGGCCUAGCCCCUGUAGGCCUCUUAGGAGCAAAGAUCUAUGGUGGGCACUGCACCCUAUUCUCUUGUGACCUGGUACCUGCCCUUGGCUCCCAGGGAGGCUGCGUUCAAGCAAUAGACCAAACCCUUUUGUUUAGGGUAAUGAGGAGCAGAUAUAUUCACUGAUCUUUAAAAUCAAUUUUCUAACCCCUGGGCUAGAGGUCUUCUACUUGAUAGCCUUUUCUGGCUCUGGGACUAAGGAUAUAUUCUCAUCCAGUAUUCUGCCAACUGUAGCUCUCUGUUCUAAAACGAGGGAGCCUUUAUCUGGAAGGGGUUUGAAUCUCAUAAUCAUGCUACUGGAGGUGAGCUUCUUGACAUUCCUUGAGUACAAAUCCAGCAACUUCUCAGCAGUAGGUGUACUUCUCAUUCUGGCUUAAGCUGUGCUGAUUGUCUUUGGCUGCAUCUCAGGCAGGAAUGGGCAGGUAAGAGUUCUUAGCUAUCACAGUGCUUCCCCCACCUAGACCUGGGGAGCUUUUUGUUAUCAUUUCCAAGUCAAGUUGGGGGAGGUGGGGGGGACUCCUGAGGAAAGACAGCCUAUUUGAGAUAUUUCCAGGCAGAGUGUGAGGUACAGCUAGGCUAUCAGGCCAGAUUAAUCACCAAAGUGGAAUGCAUUGCUUGGGAACUUUGGGUACUGUUUCUGUUUUUUUCAUUUUUGGGGGUUUUUUGUCUGUUUUUGUUUUUUGUCUUUUUGCCUUUUCUAGGGCCGCUCCUGCCAAAAAAAAAUUAAAAGUUAGAAGAUGUACUCAGCUAGGCUUUGGCAUGAGAUUGGGGCCCUGCGAUGAACCCCGUCAUAAGGCCAGAAGAGAAGGACCCUUGAGUCUAGGACUGAUACCAAGAGCUAUGAGAAGAUGCCUGUUCCCCCAUUCCCUUUCUUCCAAAGGCUUUAAAGCUCUUCGUUAAUCUCUCCUUCAUAUCUCUAAGAGAGAAGAAAUCAUUUUUCCCUUUAUGUAGCUGGAGACCCCAAAGCUUGUAUAAAGACCCCAAAAGAUCUAGUUGACUCUGCCCUGGAUCACUCGGCUCAAACAUGACCGAGCACGAGGUAUAGGCUCCAUUUUCAUUGCCUGACUGAGAGCAAAAAGGGAUCUCAGAGACUGUGGACUUCUUUCUGUUUUCUACCCAUCUAUGUACCUAGAAACCUUGUCCUGAAUGCAGCCACUGGAGUUGUCUGUCGGGUGGGAGAUUGUAAGAGAGGCAGCCUGGCCAAUGGGAGGCUGGGACCCUCGGAUAUGGCAACUUCAUGCGUCUUAAUUUUCUGCCUAUGUCUUUGCAGCAAUCAGAGGACCCCGGAAACCAGGAGAGCUGCCUGCUGUGUCAAGGCUGGCCUGAGGGCAUUUGCUGAGCACAGAGAAACCUGGGAGAGGAGAUCAACAGCCUUUUCCCACCCCCACCUCUUGAUCUGUCCGAUUUACCCAAAGAAAGCCAGCCAGGAUCCCCUAAGAGAGUCUUUAGGCCCAGAAUGGAGUCCUUAGGGCUGCAGGGGACUAUGAUGCUAACAGUAAAUCUGCUCAAGACUUUAAAGCAUUUGAAGGGAACUAACAGAAUCCUCAGCAUGGCCUCCUGGAUGUGAAUAAAAUGGCAACUCCUACUGUGUCACUCCCAGUUUGCCUGCUUCCCCUUAGGCUCCAGCAGAACUGGCUGGAACAUCCUACUACCACCUCCUGUUUCCCACCCUGUCACACAUGUGCUAUUGGCACCAGCCUUUGACACUCCAGAGGGCUCCCAGAGACAGGCUGGUCACCACCUCUGUAACAGACUGAGGAGAGCCAAAUGAGAAGGUUCCUGUACUUUAGGAAAGUUGCUUAACCUUGGGGCCUGACUGUUGAUUACUAACCUUAUCCAAAAAGCUCUUGGAGGGUAGGGUAGGGCUUUUCCCACUUCACCUCUGAACUAUAUCCCUUCCCCAACAAACAUUUGGCACUGAGAUACUCAAUAAAGUUUCAGUUAAGU